UUUAGUGGCAUAAGCUUUAAUAAAAGGUUUUAUAUACUCUUUAAUCUCCUUUUAAAUAAUAAAAUAUUCGUAUAUUAGAAGUAUUGUAUAUAGAACAAUUUAAUCAAUUAAUUUUUAGCAUUAUAAGAGGUAUUAUCCAGCGAGGAAUCGUUUUUCAGUUUAUUGACUGACUUUAUUUUUUAACUUAAUCCGUUUGAUUCAAUCACAUUUCUUAAAAGUUUUAGAUCUUCCAACUUAUUGACAUUCAAAAGUUUUACCCACUUUUCAUUUUUCAUUUGUUCACUCCUUUGUGCGGAUUUUUAAUCGUGUCGCCAGUUCCUUCGACUGUGAAUGAUUUCACUUAACGCUCGCUUUCGGGAUAGGAAAACAAUGUUAUCGCUUAAUACUUAUAUUUUCCUGUCAUUUAAUUUCUUUUCCACUUAGUUCUUUCCGCUUUCUCCUUCGAUACUCGCUGACACGCAUUUGUUUGCCUAAAGUGCACUUUUUAACUAACUUGUCUAACGCAACUAAUGAAAGGAUUUGUUAUUGGUUUGGUCUGGUAAGAGCGCAAAAAGGAACAGCAGCCACACCAACUGCCACCUGGUAACUUUGCCCAGGGAAUUAUACAUAAACAUUGCCCAAUCCGGACAAGAAGAGCACACAAUAUAGACGACACACACGAUUCCCAAAAAAUGAAAAAAGAAAUAUGCUCGCAACUUGAAAAAGUAAAUAAAUAUUUGAACAACUUCUUAUGGCCAACUAUUUGUUUGGCAGGCGAAAAGAACAAGUUUUGGGCCAGGCAAAAGCAAAGAGCUCGGCCAGGGCCUGGCAAUCGACAAGUUUUCCUCAUGGGUGGCUCUAAGUUCGGCAGGAAUUGGAUUGGCAAAUUGUUCAGCACAUCAUUUUCGAGGCAAUUUAACGAAAUCAAAUUUAAGAGAAAUUCUUUCAGCCAGAAUGUGUAAGAGCUAAAUAAAUAAAUGUAGCUUUUAA